rnacentral:rRNA from 1 species
GAACCACUUCGGUGGGGAUUAGUGGCGAACGGGUGAGUAACACGUGGGCAAUCUGCCCUUCACUCUGGGACAAGCCCUGGAAACGGGGUCUAAUACCGGAUAACACUCCUGCCUGCAUGGGCGGGGGUUGAAAGCUCCGGCGGUGAAGGAUGAGCCCGCGGCCUAUCAGCUUGUUGGUGAGGUAAUGGCUCACCAAGGCGACGACGGGUAGCCGGCCUGAGAGGGCGACCGGCCACACUGGGACUGAGACACGGCCCAGACUCCUACGGGAGGCAGCAGUGGGGAAUAUUGCACAAUGGGCGAAAGCCUGAUGCAGCGACGCCGCGUGAGGGAUGACGGCCUUCGGGUUGUAAACCUCUUUCAGCAGGGAAGAAGCGAAAGUGACGGUACCUGCAGAAGAAGCGCCGGCUAACUACGUGCCAGCAG